rnacentral:lncRNA from 1 species
AUGAGAAAAGGAGUUGGGAUAUAUAUGCUGGUUCGAAGGGUGUUUCUCUCUUUGGUAUCUUACAUGCUAAUACCCCCUGGUUCCUUGGAUAUUUUGGCUUUGAAACUUGCUCCCUCCAUGUGCUGGAACCUCCCAGCAGCUCUGUUCAAUAAUCCUGCAGACCUUCUCUACGUGGCUUCUAUUUUUCCAGCAAAGGGCUGA